CAAUAGCGUAUAUUAAAGUUGUUGCGGUUAAAAAGCUCGUAGUUGGAUUUCUGUCGGAGACGCGCGGUCCGCACUAUGUGCGUGUAUCUGUGUCGGCUCUGGCAUCCUCCUGGGGAACGGUGCUGCGCUUGAUUGCGUGGUCCGGUAUUCAGGACUUUUACUUUGAGGAAAUUAGAGUGUUUACGGCAGGCAAGCGCCUUGAAUAUAUUAGCAUGGAAUAAUAACAUAGGACUUUGGUUCUAUUUUGUUUGGUUUCUAGGACAUAAGUAAUGAUUAAUAGGGAUAAUUGGGGGCGAUUUGUAUUAACGCGUCAGAGGUGGAAUUCUUGGAUUGCGUUACGACAAACUACUGCGAAAGCAUUUGCCAAGGAUGUUUUCAUUGAUCAAGAACGAAAGUAUGGGAUCGAAGACGAUUAGAUACCGU
rnacentral:rRNA from 1 species